rnacentral:rRNA from 1 species
GGUGAGUAACGCGUGAGUAACCUGCCUUACACAAGGGGAUAGCCGUUGGAAACGACGAAUAAUACCCUAUGAAACUAUCACUUCGCAUGAAGCGAUAGUCAAAGUGUUAGCGGUGUAAGAUGGACUUGCGUCUGAUUAGCUAGUUGGUGAGAAAAAGCCCACCAAGGCAACGAUCAGUAGCCGGCUUGAGAGAGUGUACGGCCACAUUGGGACUGAGACACGGCCCAG